rnacentral:rRNA from 1 species
ACGGCAACGGGUGCGGAACACGUACACAACCUCCCUUUAAGUGGGGAAUAGCCCGGGGAAACCCGGAUUAAUACCCCGUAACAUAAUGAAGUGGCAUCGCUUUAUUAUUAUAGCUACGGCGCUUUAAGAUGGGUGUGCGACUGAUUAGGCAGUUGGCGGGGUAACGGCCCACCAAACCUACGAUCAGUAACUGGUGUGAGAGCACGACCAGUCACACGGGCACUGAGACACGGGCCCGACUCCUACGGGAGGCAGCAGUAAGGAAUAUUGGUCAAUGGACGCAAGUCUGAACC